UACGUAGGGGGCAAGCGUUAUCCGGAUUUACUGGGUGUAAAGGGAGCGUAGACGGCGAUGCAAGUCUGGAGUGAAAGGCGGGGGCUCAACCCCUGGAUUGCUUUGGAAACUGUAUUGCUAGAGUGCAGGAGAGGUAAGAGGAAUUCCUAGUGUAGCGGUGAAAUGCGUAGAUAUUAGGAGGAACACCAGUGGCGAAGGCGUCUUACUGGACUGUAACUGACGUUGAGGCUCGAAGGCGUGGGGAGCAAACAGG
rnacentral:rRNA from 1 species